GAUGAACGCUAGCGACAGGCUUAACACAUGCAAGUCGAGGGGCAGCGGGGAUGAAGCUUGCUUUAUCUGCCGGCGACCGGCGCACGGGUGAGUAACACGUAUGCAACCUACCCUAUGCAGGGGAAUAACCACGGGAAACCGUGCCUAAUACCGCGUAACGCACUGAUUGGGCAUCCGAUUGGUGUCAAAGGAGCAAUCCGGCAUAGGAUGGGCAUGCGGCGCAUUAGCUAGUUGGCGGGGUAACGGCCCACCAAGGCGACGAUGCGUAGGGGUUCUGAGAGGAAGGUCCCCCACACUGGAACUGAGACACGGUCCAGACUCCUACGGGA
rnacentral:rRNA from 1 species